UAUCCAGACUCCUACGGGAGGCAGCAGUGGGGGAUAUUGCACAAUGGGGGGAACCCUGAUGCAGCGACGCCGCGUGGGUGAAGGAGCGUUUCGGCGCGUAAAGCCCUAUCGGCAGGGAAGAAGGAGGACGGUACCUGACUAAGAAGCCCCGGCUAACUACGUGCCAGCAGCCGCGGUAAUACGUAGAGGGCAAGCGUUAUCCGGAUUCACUGGGUGUAAAGGGAGCGUAGACGGCCAGGCAAGCCUGGAGUGAAAGCCCGGGGCCCAACCCCGGGACUGCUCUGGGAACUGUCCGGCUGGAGUGCGGGAGGGGCAGGCGGAAUUCCUGGUGUAGCGGUGAAAUGCGUAGAUAUUAGGAGGAACACCAGUGGCGAAGGCGGCCUACUGGACGGUGACUGACGCUGAGGCUCGAAAGCGUGGGGAGCAAACAGGAUUAGAUACCCUGGUAC
rnacentral:rRNA from 1 species